UCAGAUUCUUAAUUUCCUUCACCAAAACGGUGCAUCCCCCGCGGUCUGCAUCUUCAACCUAAGAACAAUUAGAAGAGAACCAUUUCCUUCCAAAAGAGAAAAUCAGACUCGGACCUUUGCAAAAACCAGAGCAAACAGCGCAACCCCAGCUCCCUUUCUUCUGUUUGCUUCAUCAUUUUCUCAAAACACACACAGAGAAACACCCAAUUCUCAUAUCUGACUCCCUACAUUUCCUUACUUCUCUGAUAAACACCCAAACACACUAGGAAAUCAAAAUUGGAAGAAAAAUCCGAAAAAAUCGUUUCAAACAAAAAUCAAAAUGAAGCUGGAAUUUGGGCAUCAAUUUUCCUAAAUACUGCUGUUGUUGUUGUGUCAUUCUUUUGCUUUCAUCUCCUUGCAACUUCAGAGAUUUAUUCUUUUUGGUGGCUAAAUCAGUGCUUAUUUCUAAAGAAGUAGUGUGCAAGGAAUUUGUACUGAUACUAGAAGUCAGUAGAUGUUUCAAGAACAGUACAAGUUUGUGUUAAUUCUUCUUUGUCCCCAGCACUUGCUGACCAAGAACGGACAGUCCUGAUGCCUAUGAUUGUAUUAAUUUGAUUACUAACAGCUUGAAUGAUUGUAAGUAACGAAGUGAUUAUUGUGAAAAUAUUGUUUAGUAAAAGUGUCUUCAUUUGUGAUUGAUCCAACAAAAAAAACAAAUAUCUAGGAUAUUAAAAGAAUUGUUUGUGGGGUUCAUAAAAAUAUAUUAUAAUUAAUGUU